AUUUUCUUAGUAUAAUUAGUACUAAUCACUUCCAAUCAUUAAGCCUUGGUUAAACCCCAAGAGAAAAUA
rnacentral:tRNA from 1 species